GUCAUCCUUAGUACGAGAGGACCGGGAUGAACGGGCCGCUGGUGUACCUGUUGUCCUGCCAAGGGCACUGCAGGUUAGCUACGCCCGGAUCGGAUAACCGCUGAAGGCAUCUAAGCGGGAAGCCGACCUCGAGAUUAGUUCUCCCAUUCCUUCAAGGAAGUAAGACCCCUGAUAGACCAUCAGGUUGAUAGGCCGACUGUGUAAAUGCAGCAAUGCGUGCAGCAGAUCGGUACUAAUGGGUCGAGGUCUUGACGUU
rnacentral:rRNA from 1 species